UAAUUGAGAUGCAGUUCUGUUUUAUAAGCCCCAAGGUUCGGAAAGUGAAGAAUGGCCAAUGUUUAAAAAAUGAGGAUUUUGUUUUGAUUAUCAUGACUGCUGCACAAUGUGAAAUGCUUAAAAUUUAUGGGACCGAUUGCAUCUGUAUAGAUGGAACUCAUGGGAUGAAUAACUAUGACUUCGAACUUAUAACUCUCCUUGUUGUUGAUGAUAUUCGUCAGGGAUUUCCUUGCAGUUUUCUUGUGUCAAAUAGGUCUGAUAAACAAGUUUUAAAAAUAUUUUUUCACUUUGUAAAAUGUCGCCUUGGUACUGCACUUUGCCCAAAUGUCUUCAUGUCAGAUAUGGCAGAAGCUUUCUUCAAUGCAUGGAUUGAAAUAAUGUCUCCACCAAAAUUCAGAUUAUACUGUUCAUGGCACGUUGACCAGGCGUGGCGUAAGAAUUUAUCAAAAAUCAACACCAAAGAAAAGCAAGCUUUUAUUUAUAAGAAUUUAAGAGCUGUCUUAGAAGAAAGGGAUGUCACAACUUUUAAUAUUUUAAUUAACAAGUUAUAUACUAUGUUACUUGAAG